rnacentral:lncRNA from 1 species
UACGCUAGGUGGGAAGGCGCAACCUAUUACAAAAUCACGAACCUAGUCGUAGAUAAAGAAUUAUACACUAAUAUAGAUAACUAAACCCUAAUAUUGAAAUGUGAACCUACUCCCUGUACGUUGUACCGUUGGGUUGGUUAAUCAGGACGACGCUGAGUAGUAUGGAUUACUUAAAUGCUUUGCUAAUUUUGUACAUCCAAUUAAAACACUGGUAAUGCUAAAAGGAAACCCCAUAUAGUGAAACUAAACCCUACAAUUCUAGUUAAAUCAUAAACCAAAGAGAAAUUAUUAAUACACAUCCCAGCUGGUGAAGCCCGCAAGUAUGACAUAUAUAGUAUGGAUGUUGUAAAGGGUUGAAAUAUGUUGGGUUCAUAUGGAUAAUUAAACCCUAAUAUGGAAAACUAAACCCUAAUAUGGAUAACUAAACCCUAAUAUGGAUAUGUGAACCCACAUACACCACAUAAUAAAUAUGAAAAUAAUUAACCCACAUCGUAGAAGAAAAACAAGUGUCCCU